CUGCUAAUAAGUAUUCCACUACAGAUGCAAGAAGAAAGUGUCCUCACACUUUCUGUCUGUCUGACUGUGGGAGCUGAGAUUGAAUGGGGGAAUACAGGA
rnacentral:snoRNA from 1 species